rnacentral:pre_miRNA from 1 species
AGCCUUCUGUAUCCGUACUGAGAUUUCGUCGGAGAUCAACUCGUUUGGGCUGAUGGUACUUCCCAAAUAAGUGAAGCG